CAUGGCCCUUAUAGGUGGGGCUACACACGUCAUACAAUGGCUGGUACAAAGGGUUGCCAACCCGCGAGGGGGAGCCAAUCCCAUAAAGCCAGUCGUAGUCCGGAUCGUAGUCUGCAACUCGACUACGUGAAGUCGGAAUCGCUAGUAAUCGUGGAUCAGAAUGUCACGGUGAAUACGUUCCCGGGUCUU
rnacentral:rRNA from 1 species